ensembl:ncRNA lncRNA:CR45793 long non-coding RNA:CR45793
GGCCUGGGAAGCAGCUAAAUAAUCGAAGGAGAAGCAGCCGCUUAAGGCGAUAAGCAGCACCUUGGUAGGUGAGAGCAAAUAAUGAAAAAUACGUACAUAUUGGUAAAAGGUAAAAGGCAGCUGCAGAUAGCGAAAAACCGAACUGAACGUGCAAUUUAUGGGAUCGGAUACCCCGCAAGGUUCCAGAAAGCGGGAGGAAGCUACUCGUUCCGCUUGCCCUUCAAGAGAGUUUAAACACUCUCUGCCAAGCCAAACCAAUUGCAAACGUAAAAGCGGGGAAAAGCGGAGGCAAACAGUAAGGCAGAAAGACAAGCGCAACAAUCGUCACGUAGCCCAGCACACACACCAAUGCGCAAUUGGCACACGCACAUGCGAGCGACCCAUACAAACGCAAAGAAGCCACACGCACAGGCGUUAAUGCGAGAGCCAAGUGAGUCAGAAAGAGAUGGUCGCCAGCGAAGGGAGUGUGAGAAGGUCAGCGAUAAUGUAGAUAUUUAAAAUGUUUGAUACAAAUAUCUGCUAAAAAUGCUUAAGAAACACUAACGAAGAUGAGGCACAGAACGGCGGAAGCACGCGGAAGCUAGGCGAAUGUGCGAACCAAAGAAUUGGGUCAACGGCCCAGUUCAAAGUCGCCGCCAAACAACGUGCACGCAGAGAAAUCGGGGAGACCUUUUAAAGCGCCAUUAAAAUAAAGAAAUAUCCCAGAAAUCUGCCCAACAUUCUGUAACCAAGAUAUAUAAUAUAUAUAAUAAUAU